rnacentral:rRNA from 1 species
UACGGAGGGAGCUAGCGUUGUUCGGAAUUACUGGGCGUAAAGCGCACGUAGGCGGCGAUUCAAGUCAGAGGUGAAAGCCCGGGACUCAACUCCGGAACUGCCUUUGAAACUAGAUUGCUAGAAUCUUGGAGAGGCGAGUGGAAUUCCGAGUGUAGAGGUGAAAUUCGUAGAUAUUCGGAAGAACACCAGUGGCGAAGGCGACUCGCUGGACAAGUAUUGACGCUGAGGUGCGAAAGCGUGGGGAGCAAACAGG